UAUUAUAUAUAACUUAUUUGUAUUUGUAACCUUUUCUAUUAGCAGUGUCCAGCCGUCCAUGGCUGAACGAGACACAAUCGAACCCGGAUGGUUCGUUGGGUCGUCUGCGUCUGUAAUUAAUAUUUUAUGCGGUUACUCUUAGAAUAUCUUGUUUCUGGAUAAC
rfam:Firmicutes bacterium CAG:95 genomic scaffold, scf378